AUACGUAGGGUGCGAGCGUUGUCCGGAAUGAUUGGGCGUAAAGGGCGCGUAGGCGGCCUGUUAAGUCUGGAGUGAAAGUCCUGUUUUCAAGAUGGGAAUUGCUUUGGAUACUGAUGGGCUUGAGUGCAGGAGAGGUUAUCGGAAUUCCCGGUGUAGCGGUGAAAUGCGUAGAGAUCGGGAGGAACACCAGUGGCGAAGGCGGGUAACUGGACUGCAACUGACGCUGAGGCGCGAAAGUGUGGGGAGCAAACAGGAUUAGAUACCCUGGUAGUCCACACUGUAAACGAUGAAUGCUAGGUGUAAGAGGUAUCGACCCCUUUUGUGCCGGAGUUAACACAAUAAGCAUUCCGCCUGGGGAGUACGGCCGCAAGGUUGAAACUCAAAUGAAUUGACGGGG
rnacentral:rRNA from 1 species